UACGUAGGGUGCAAGCGUUAAUCGGAAUUACUGGGCGUAAAGCGUACGCAGGCGGUGAUGUAAGACAGAUGUGAAAUCCCAGGGCUCAACCUUGGAACUGCAUUUGUGACUGCAUCGCUGGAGUGCGGCAGAGGGGGAUGGAAUUCCGCGUGUAGCAGUGAAAUGCGUAGAGAUGCGGAGGAACACCGAUGGCGAAGGCAGCCCCCUGGGCUAGCACUGACGCCUCGAGGCACGAAAGCGUGGGGAGCAAACAGG
rnacentral:rRNA from 1 species